AUAAUGUUUCGUUUCCAUAAAAGAAAAAAAACAAAACGUAAUUUAAUCAGACCAAUUUAGUUUCUUUUUUUAUCGUUGUUCUGCUAUCCUGCGGCAGCAGUAUCGAAACGCCAAUCUGUUGGUUGUUCAUGUACGCACCAAACCAAUCAAAUUCGACGGCAUGACUCGCGCGAAGUUCGUUAGAGUCGCCAACGCCUCCUAGCGUCAGUUUUCAAAAAAGGAAGCGCGCGCGCGGCACGGUACGAUAUCGCGGCUCAACUAAAACCGAAAACCGAUUACACCUCCUAUUAAAACCGUGUGAAAUCAGCAGCCAGUAGCCUUCAUCAUCUCAGGAUCACCAACGGAGUGGAAGCUCAACGACUAGUGCAGGUCGCAGCCCAGGAUUCACGAGGUACGUGCGUGCAUUGUAUCUUUACUGUAGCCUGUCUAGGAUCUCGCAGAACAACAAAUAAUUAACGUAUUUUUUAUCGUAAGACCACCCUCUGGUCUCCCCAGAGUGGCAUCCGCAUCACAAUUUCAUUUCGGCUGGUGCGAGUUGCUACAUCUUUUUGGUGCCGAAACCCGGGAGCUUCCAUUUAAUUCUUAUCGAAUCGCCAUAUUGGUUUUCUGGUUAAAGGUAACUUAAAAUAAUCUCAAUCGAUCUAUUGUUUUAACCAUAUCGCAUUUUAAGUUGUCCCAUCGGAACUAUCAAACCAUUCCAUAAUUUCGUAAUUAUUCAUAACUAAACACGUCACGUAAACGAGCUAAGUAGGUACUUAUCCUAAAUUCGCCAUCGAACAAAAAACUAUAACAAUAAAACUUCCGAUUAGCUUGUGAGGGUACCUAUGCCGAUCUAACUACAAAUACCGUCCUGCAUGGGUAUUCUCGCUUGUUACUUAACAAUUAUUGUGGUGAAGUCAAAUUGUGCAAUCACUUUUAUCAAUUUAUCGGUGCACACUUUAACAACCCGCAAUAAGUAACUCAUCGGCUCAUUAAAAUGCAAGUGACCUACCAAAACAAAUAACGUAAUACUAAGUGGAUUAUCCGUUUUUUAUUAAAGUGGUUUUCGUAGUAACAUUUUGUUCAUUAAAUACUUUCAUUCGUAAAAAACGUACGUCGUUUAAACGUACCUACGAGUAUUAUUAUUCACUGUAGGUAGGUAGAUUGAAAUAUCGUAAACCGUUCUAUCAAAAUAACGUAUCAGUUACCUAGGUACCUACAAAUAAAACUUCUCGACGAGUCGGUGAUUAAAUUUACCGUUUAUUUUCACGAAUUGAACACAGAGGUAAUCAGCUGUUGCAGUACAUUGUGUCUAUAGUUCUAGACAGUCAUCAAUCGACCCUGUCAUAUUAUCUGUGUAUGCUUAUAAUAUAAUAUCCGAGUAGCUAGAUUUGCUAGUUGGUAACAAUAGGGAUACCUACACCGUACACGCGUCUUGUAACGUACCUAUUAUACGCGCCGAAGUUCGGGGCGCGUUUGGGUAGGAUACACUGUCUUAGCGACCACUACCUACUUAUUGCGGAUGAUACUUGCACAUAAGUAGGUACAUUUAUUUAGUGCUUAAUUAUAAUCCGUAAGCUUAACUCUGUAUCGAAAUUCUUCGCACAUUACAAGAAAUAAUAUCUCAUAGCUUUGUUUUGUACCUGCUUAAUAAACUUUUUUUAAAUGCCGCUUCUCGGAAAACCUACCCGCAGGGGUACAUUAAAGAAAUCAAAAUGUAAUGAAGUAGAAUAUUCGACUCAAGAUUUACCGUCUUUGCGUAGGAAACGAACCAUUUCUUAUAACCGUUUAAAUAAAGCGCUGGAGAUAGGUAUUUUAGCCGAAAACGAUUCUUCUCAACUAAAUUUGUUUUUGUCAUAUUUUCAAGACAUUAAGCAACAUGCCGCUAGUUUUGAGGAUGCGCAUUUUACGAUCCAGGAGAUUCUCGAUGACCCUGAAAAUGAGGACAAUGACCUUCAAGAAAGGUUUGAUGCAAUGUAUUACAGAUUGUUGUCAAUCCAUCGAACGUUAUCUAAAACUGAAUCAACUCGGUCUUGCGACACUGUUUCGUCGAAUAUUCGAUUACCGAAAAUCGUGCUUCCUAACUUUAGCGGCGACAUUAAAAAAUGGCCUGAGUAUUAUGAUACGUUUAACACCUUAAUACAUAACUCAACAUCGUUAACCGACACUGAGAAGCUUCAUUAUCUCGUAUCGUCUCUGAGCGGCGAUGCGCUGCUUGUUAUCAAGCCUUUCCCUCUGACACACGAACACUACCGCGACGCAUACGAAGCACUCACCGCGCGCUAUAAGAAUAAGCGGGAUCUUGCGUUUACGUGUUGGCGGGAUAUUUUGAAAAUUGAAUUUAAGGUUUCUGACGCGCACGCAUUUCGAAGGUCACUCGAUUUAUUCGAUGAAAACUUAAGCAUUUUAAGGACUAUUAAUUUGCCGGUUAACCAUUGGGAUUUCAUUUUAGUGUAUCAUAUCUUAUCGAAGGUCGACCAGAGGCUUCGUCGGGAUUUUGAGGAAAAACAUUCCGAUGUAGAACUUCCUACUUAUAACCAAUUGCGAAAUUUCCUGCAAUCCAAGUGUGAGGCUUUAUUGCGAGACACACAUUUCGUUGAAUCGGACAAACCUCAACCGAGGUCUAAAUCUGCUCACCCGCAGCCCCAACCGCGCAGUUCUGCGUCACACACACUCGUUGCCGCUAAGUCCGCUACUACACAACAACUGAAUGAAGGGGUACCAACGAAUGUCCCAUACACAAAAAAAUGCACGUUUUGUUCAGAUUUCCAUUCCAUUGCCGCAUGUCCCGAGUUUCUUAAAAAAUCGUUUGAUGAACGUUUGCAGAUCGCUACUGAGAAACACUGGUGCUUUAACUGUUUGAAUCCAUCUCAUCAGUUAAAAGAUUGUAAAUCUAUAUUUUCGUGUCGCAUAUGCAAGAGAAACCACCACACCUCACUCCAUCGCGAUAAGUCUAGUGAGUCAAAUCAGUCUUCAUCGACAUUAGUGUCAAGGUCGUUAACACACACCACUGUUCUACUGGCCACAGCAAUGAUUCAGGUCCGUGAUGCCUUUGGCUCAAUGCAAUCGUUCCGAGCUCUUUUUGAUACUGGAAGUCAAAGCAAUUUUAUCACGGAAAAGGCAGUGAAACGUCUAAGCUUACCACUUAGUCCAACUAACGACAACGUCAGCGGUAUCGGAGAUGCUUCAGCGCCGAUUCUUGGUGACAUCACGUGUUUGAUAGGCACAAAGGAUAAAAUCUUAUUUAAAUUGAACUUGCACGUCAUAUCAACAAUAUGUGGCGAUCAACCGAUAGCAAAACUUAAUACAUCUGGGUGGACCCACAUUGAAUCGAAACCCUUAGCAGAUCCUGGUUUUGAUCUCCCGGGACCUAUCGACAUAUUGCUCGGCGCGGAGGUGUUUGCUGACUCGCUUCUAAAUCAACAUAUCAAAGGCAAUGCAAAUCAACCGAUAGCUCUUAACUCUGUUUUCGGUUGGCUUCUUUUGGGCAAAACUCGUCUAGCUUCAAACACCUUAGUGCACGCAUCGGGAAAAAACGACAUCGACUUGAAUUCGUUAGUUCAACGUUUCUGGGAGUUAGACUGCGUACCCAAGGCGUCUCUUCUUACUCCAGAGGAGGUGUUUUGCGAACAAAAGUUUUUAUCCGACCAUUGCCGCGAUACGUUUGGACGAUACACAGUACGCUUACCAUUCAAAGAUGAUAGCGAACCGAAGUUUGAAGGUUCUCGUGACGUUGCACUUAGACGAUUUCAUGCAAUAGAACGUAGGCUGUCUCGUGACCCUGACUUACAAAAGGAAUACGCGAAUUUUAUGACAGAUUACUUGGACGCCGGUCAUAUGUCUUUGGUUCCCGGAAAUGAACUCAGUCAGGGGAAAUAUUAUAUUCCACAUCAUUGCGUUUUGCGUCCUGACUCUGCUACCACCCGUCUCCGCGUUGUCUUUGACGCGUCGGCCAAGGAUGCCCACUCUCGGUCUUUAAACGACACUCAACUAAUCGGUCCCAAGUUACAACCGAACAUUCUAGAAAUUCUAUUGCGAUUUAGGGUACAUAAUAUUGUUUUUAUGGCUGACGUUCGACAAAUGUACCGUCAAAUUCUUAUUUCCCAAGCCGAUCGUGACUACCAGCGCAUUUUUUGGAGAACCACUCCUACAGAAUGUCUUCAAGAAUACCGUUUGAAUACUGUAACAUAUGGCGUUUCAUCUUCACCCUUUCUUGCGUGUCGUACUCUGCGACAGCUUGCCGAGGACGAGGGCAAUCAGUAUCCCAUAGCAAAGGGAAUCAUUCUGUCUGACGUAUAUAUCGACGACGUGGCCAGUGGUUCCGACACGCUAGAACAUGCCCAACAGGCAAAGGACCAACUAAUCGCCUUGUUCAAAUUAGGUGGCUUCCAUCUUAGGAAGUGGGUGUCUAACAAUGCGCAACUUCUGCUUGACCUCCCUAUUCAAGAUCGUCUCACUGGUUCUGUCUCUCUCGAUAACUAUGAAACUCAAAUUUUAAAAAUUCUCGGCCUAAAAUGGGAUCCUCACACAGAUGCAUUUCUUUUCGAAAUCCAACCUCUCGACCGGCCUUGUACCAAACGAUCGAUUCUCAGCGAACUAGCUAGAGUGUUCGACCCUCUAGGAUUUUUGUCUCCCAUUACAAUUCAAAUCAAAACCUAUAUCCAGAAACUUUGGAUCCUUGGUAUCGGAUGGGAUCAAACACCGCCUGAUGAGGUCAUUGGUAUGUGGAAUACUUACAAGGUUCAAUUAUCACAGUUAUCUCAAGUUCGAAUUCCUCGCAGGUUAAUUUGUUCUGAUGUCAAAUCGUUCGAGCUUCACGGGUUUUGUGACAGUUCCGAGGUAGCGUAUGGUGCGGUAAUAUAUUUUCGGGUUACUAACGGCAGCGGCAAGGUCACAACGUAUCUGGUCUGUUCUAAGGCUCGUGUAACACCUCUUAAACGAAUUUCAUUGCCUCGUCUGGAGCUCUGCGCCGCAGUUCUUCUAUCAGAACUUUAUAAAUUUGUUCGUGACACUUACCUUGAUCGCAUUACGAUUAACGAUGUCUAUCUGUGGUCAGACUCGACGGUAGUUCUUUCAUGGUUGCGAGCCCAUUCUUCCCGCUGGGUAACAUUCGUCGCCAACAGAGUCAGUCAAAUCCAAGAUCUUACUGCAACUGCUUGCUGGCGCCAUGUACCUUCAGGAGAUAACCCUGCGGACGUUUGCUCUCGUGGUCAAUUACCCAGUGAGAUCGUAAACAACUCCUUAUGGUGGACGGGCCCUGAUUGGCUACGUAGGGAUCACUGUUGCUGGCCUUCUAUCCCUGAUACUGCCUCUCACGAGGAUGAAGUACUCGUUAAAUCCGAAGAACGCAAGUGUGUAGUCUUAUUAACCGAUCAACUUGAUAAAACCUUACCUGACGGAUCCAUCAUCGAGAUGUUAUUGAAUCGUUUCUCUUCAUUGUCUAAGUUGGUAAAUGUUCUCACGUACGUAUAUCGCUUUAUCGAUAAUACUCGACAUCCCAAUCAGGUGAAUCGAAAACGAUUUCUUAAUAACGUUGAACGUCAUCACACUCUUAUAAAAAUAGUCAAACAUGUACAACACACCACUUUUCUCGAAGAAAUCUUUCAUCUGCAAUCAAAAAAACCCUUAUCAAAACCUUUUCGCAAGUUAAAUCCGUUCCUUGAUGAUCAGGGAGUACUCAGGGUGGGCGGUAGGAUUUCGCGAUCAGGUCUCGAAUAUGAGCAAAAGCACCCCGCCUUCUUACCUUCUAACCAUCCUUUUACUUACUUGGUCAUCGACUUUAUUCAUCGCAGUUAUUUACACCCAGGUAUUAACACUACACAUUUUCUACUACUUCAACAAUUCUGGAUCAUAGCUGCAAAACGCGUUAUUCGUCGCCACUUGUCCAAGUGUAUUCAAUGUUUUCGAACAAAUCCUCAGCCAUUACAACCUUUUAUGAGCGAUCUUCCCUCUUAUCGCGUCAAUCAAGUUAAACCAUUUUCCGUGGUCGGUGUCGAUCUAGGCGGGCCGUUCCGUAUUAAACUCGGUUCACAUAGAGGCGCGAAAAUGGAUAAGGCGUAUUUGUGCUUGUUUGUUUGCCUGGCGACCAAGGCGGUGCAUUUAGAAGUCGUAUCGACGUUAACAACUGAAGGGUUUAUUGCUGCUUUGCGCCGAUUUGUAGGAAGACGCGGUCGGUGCAACGUAAUUCACGCGGAUUGUGGCACUAAUUUUGUUGGUGCAAAAAACCAGCUCUCAAUUUUAAUGGAACAGGCAACGAAUACAGAAAAAAUCGAAUUUAAGUUCAACCCUCCCGGCGCACCGCACUUUGGCGGCGUCUGGGAGAUUCAGAUUAAAGCCGCAAAAUCUCAUUUGCUUCGGGUUGUGGGUGAUCAGGUUUUGACUUUUGAGGAACUAACCACUCUUUUUGUUCAAAUAGAAGCCAUCUUAAACUCAAGGCCACUUUGCCCUAUUAGUUCCGAUCCAAACGACCUGACGUGUCUCACUCCGGGUCAUUUUCUUACUUUAGAACCUUUGACAGCCGUUCCCGAUGAAGAUCUUUCUAACGUAAACCUAAAUCGGCUUCACCGAUGGCAGCUGCUCCAAUCUUUUCAACAGAGUUUUUGGUCCAGAUGGAAAUCAGAAUACUUAAAUUCUUUAACGCAACGAGCCAAAUGGACGAAACACUCUAAACCGUUACAGAUAGGUUCUAUGGUAAUCAUUAAGGACGAUAAUCGUGCACCAUUGCAUUGGACACUUGCACGAGUUGUAAACCUCCAGGUGGGUGCUGAUGGGAUAGCUCGGAGUGCAUUGGUUCAAAAUGCUGACAAACAAAUUAUAAAUCGACCUUUAGUUAAACUGUGUCCCUUGCCUAUAGAGGACUCUGCUUAGCUGUUCUAAUCAUAUUAACCGAACUUUCAACCCUUAUCCAAAAUUUUAUUUAAUUGUUUAUUUAAUUCUCUUUAGUUUUAGUAUUCAACCUUUCGUCAACUAAUUUUUUGUCUUUUAACCAGAAAAUACCAUAGGCAUUUUGGUGGGCGGGAUGUUUCGUUUCCAUAAAAGAAAAAAAACAAAACGUAAUUUAAUCAGACCAAUUUAGUUUCUUUUUUUAUCGUUGUUCUGCUAUCCUGCGGCAGCAGUAUCGAAACGCCAAUCUGUUGGUUGUUCAUGUACGCACCAAACCAAUCAAAUUCGACGGCAUGACUCGCGCGAAGUUCGUUAGAGUCGCCAACGCCUCCUAGCGUCAGUUUUCAAAAAAGGAAGCGCGCGCGCGGCACGGUACGAUAUCGCGGCUCAACUAAAACCGAAAACCGAUUACACCUCCUAUUAAAACCGUGUGAAAUCAGCAGCCAGUAGCCUUCAUCAUCUCAGGAUCACCAACGGAGUGGAAGCUCAACGACUAGUGCAGGUCGCAGCCCAGGAUUCACGAGAAAACCGCCAGAAGACCCUUAUCUAACCAGUUCGGAGAAAGCAAAACUAUUUUUCGUUGGACAUUGGCGGGGUGUGAUAGCUCUUUUC